GUGGGGAAUAUUGCACAAUGGGCGCAAGCCUGAUGCAGCCAUGCCGCGUGUGUGAAGAAGGCCUUCGGGUUGUAAAGCACUUUCAGCGGGGAGGAAGGCGAUAAGGUUAAUAACCUUGUCGAUUGACGUUACCCGCAGAAGAAGCACCGGCUAACUCCGUGCCAGCAGCCGCGGUAAUACGGAGGGUGCAAGCGUUAAUCGGAAUUACUGGGCGUAAAGCGCACGCAGGCGGUCUGUCAAGUCGGAUGUGAAAUCCCCGGGCUCAACCUGGGAACUGCAUUCGAAACUGGCAGGCUAGAGUCUUGUAGAGGGGGGUAGAAUUCCAGGUGUAGCGGUGAAAUGCGUAGAGAUCUGGAGGAAUACCGGUGGCGAAGGCGGCCCCCUGGACAAAGACUGACGCUCAGGUGCGAAAGCGUGGGGAGCAAACAGGAUUAGAUACCCGGGUAGUCC
rnacentral:rRNA from 1 species